rnacentral:misc_RNA from 1 species
GACGUAGGGGGCGAGCGUUGUCCGGAAUCACUGGGCGUAAAGCGCGCGCAGGCGGCCCGGUAAGUCGGUAGUGAAAACUCGGGGCUCAACCCCGAGCCUGCUAUCGAUACGGAUCGGCUAGAGGUAGGUAGGGGAAAGUGGAAUUCCUGGUGUAGCGGUGAAAUGCGCAGAUAUCAGGAGGAACACCGGUGGCGAAGGCGGCUUUCUGGGCCUUACCUGACGCUGAUACGCGAAAGCGUGGGGAGCAAACAGG